rnacentral:lncRNA from 1 species
AUUUACUAUGUACCAGAAGUCCAACUAGAAUGAAGGUAUCAACAAGAAGACAAAAGAAGAAGACAGCUACUGGAAACAUAUAAUGUAAAGUAAAUAGUACUAGUCGCAUUCAUGAACAGUAAAUGUCGUUUAUGAAUAGUAAGAGUCAUAAAGUAAAUAGUAUAUGUCAUAAUCAUGAACAGUAAAGGUCGUUCAUGAAUAGUAAGAGUCAUAAAGUAAAUAGUAUACGUCAUAAUCAUGAACAGUAAAGGUCGUUCAUGAAUAGUAGGAGUCAUUUGUAAACAGUAAGAGUCGUUUUAAUUUUCUUUAUAUAGAAUGUAAAUCCGAGGAAGGAAGGACAUCCUCAGACAUCCUCACCCUUACCUUCUCUCUCUAAUAUUCUCUCUUCUCUCUUAAGAAAUAUCUGAGUUAUUUACAAGUAUCUAAUACAGCUAUGGAGCCUUCAAACGAGUUACAAAACCAGGUAAGUUUAUUCAUAAUCAUGUUUAACUAAACUCUUAUAUUCCUUAUAAUCUCUUGAAUAUCAUAAUUGAUUAUCAUAUUAUAGUACUGUUAUAAAGAACAUCUUGAGAAAGUUUGCCUGUCUAAUAAUGCU